rnacentral:misc_RNA from 1 species
UUUCCGUAGGUGAACCUGCGGAAGGAUCAUUAUCGUACAGAAUGUGAGGGACCUUCUAGGACUCUAGCUAACCUUGAAGUCGUAGACGGCCGAGUGUGUCCUCUUGCAUAAUCAUCCAUCUCACCCUUGGAGCAGCACCGCUUGGUCAACCUUCGGUAUCAGCUCGGAGGUCCGCUCGCGUUUUUACAUAAGCCCCCCUUUUGAAAGUGUAGAAUUACCACAUUAAUGCAAACAAUACAACUUUCAACAACGGAUCCCUUGGCUAUCGCAGCGAUACAG